GGGAUUGUGUCUUAAAGGUAGAGGGCUUGCCUAAGAUGCAGGAAACCCUGGGAUCGAUUCCUAGGUCCUG
rfam:Dipodomys ordii ctg_broad_rename0003415, whole genome shotgun sequence.